rfam:Aedes albopictus isolate Foshan contig87505, whole genome shotgun sequence.
UGUUCUGUGGUUUAGGUGGUUAAAGCGCCAUUCUAGUGAAUACCGAGUCGUGGGUUCAAAUCCCACCAGAACGC